AAGGGCACCACAAGAACGCGUGGAGCAUGUGGCUUAAUUUGACUCAACGCGGGAAAUCUUACCGGGUCCGGACACACUGAGGAUUGACAGGCACUAUUAAAAAUGAAGAGUUACGCGGAUUUAUUCGUGUGGCUCUUUUUUUUAUGUCAAAUAUGCUAGUCCUUUCAUGAUUAUGUGAUAGGUGGUGCAUGGCCGUUCUUAGUUCGUGGAGUGAUCUGUCUGCUUAAUUGCGUUUCACUAAGAGUUCUAAACUUAAUGUGUAUUGCGGCGGUAUCAUUGACCCCUGUCUCUCACGAGGCGGUGUUGUUGUCUUUGUUAUUUGUCCGCUUACACUACUGAGCUCUGAAAGCAACGAACGUGACCGCAGCCUCUUGUUGCCUUUCGUAAUUCAAUCGCUUUUCAUUAAGCUUUUGAUCAAAAAAGGCUCAUUCUUUAAACUAGAGGGACCGCUGUAUCUUCUUUAAACCAGAGGAAGGUUGCGACAAUAACAGGUCUGUGAUGCCCUUAGAUGUUCCGGGCUGCACACGUGCUACAAUGAUUAUUGCAGUGAGCAUCUCAUUUUGAUACAUCGCUUGCGCGAGUCGCACUGAAUUUAUUCAGUGUUGUUCUUUGCGCGCGAUAAAGCCUGCUUCGAAAGUUCGUGGGUAAUCAAUUAGAAGUAAUGAUUUCCUAAUUCUUCGCACAAUAAUAUACUGCAUUCAUUACCGACCAUGCCCUGUGUAUGGUUCUGUGUUACAUGAGUGUCGGGCCCGUUUUUUUAAGCGGCGUCCGGUUCAGUAUGUGCAAACAUCAGCUCAAAGUGGGGAUCGACCUCUGUUAAUUGUUGGUCGUGGUCUCAACUAGGAAUGCCUUGUACUGGUCUUUGGUUCAACAAACCACCAGGAAUACGUCCCUGCCCUUUGUACACACCGCCCGUCGCUCUUACCGAUGGACUUCUCUGUGAGUUUGAGGGACUGGAAUUUUUUGAUUUUUUACUAAGUCAAAUCCUCUAUGGAAACUCAAACGAACAGUGUGGUCUAAAGGAAAGAGAAGUCGUAACAAGGCAUCUGUAGGUGAACCUGCAGAAGGAUCA
rnacentral:rRNA from 1 species